CCCGGAUCGCGGAAUCCCACCAAACACCACAGGAGCUGCUGAUCGAUGCAAGAGCAGUGAGGAACUUUAUUACAAGCUCGAGCAGGGACUCCCUCCACACAACCUAAUGGCCAUGUGGAGAGAGCCCCCAAGUGAUGCCAGAGACCUCUCGGGCUGGAAGGAGGAGGGAUCCUGGAACUGGUCAGGGUUGUGGAGAAUGGAGUGGAGCAGUGGGAACACCGUGGUGCCCUGAGAAUGGAGUCUGCCAGAUGUCCAUGGAAGAAGAUCCCCCAGCACCAACCCAAAUAAAAAAGAAGACCCACUGAGCAGAUGAAAACUGCUGACCACAAGAACAUGGACCCUAGACUGGUUGAAACCAGAAGGUUGAUGAUGCUUGAAACUUCACCUUGAUGCCAACCAAUCCAAGAACUGUCCACGAAUUGAUCACA